rnacentral:rRNA from 1 species
AGAGUUUGAUCAUGGCUCAGAUUGUACGCUGGCGGCAGGCUUCACACAUGCAAGUCGAACGGUAACAGGAAGGAAGCUUGCUUUCUUUGCUGACGAGUGGCGGACGGGUGAGUAAUGCUUGGGAAUCUGGCUUAUGGAGGGGGAUAACUACGGGAAACUGUAGCUAAUACCGCGUAAUAUCUUCGGAUUAAAGGGUGGGACCGUAAGGCCACCUGCCAUAAGAUGAGCCCAAGUGGGAUUAGGUAGUUGGUGGGGUAAAGGCCUACCAAGCCGACGAUCUCUAGCUGGUCUGAGAGGAUGACCAGCCACACUGGAACUGAGACACGGUCCAGACUCCUACGGGAGGCAGCAGUGGGGAAUAUUGCACAAUGGGGGGGACCCUGAUGCAGCCAUGCCGCGUGAAUGAAGAAGGCCUUCGGGUUGUAAAGUUCUUUCGGUGAUGAGGAAGGCAGGUAAGUUAAUAGCUUACUUGAUUGACGUUAGUCACAGAAGAAGCACCGGCUAACUCCGUGCCAGCAGCCGCGGUAAUACGGAGGGUGCGAGCGUUAAUCGGAAUGACUGGGCGUAAAGGGCACGCAGGCGGUGACUUAAGUGAGAUGUGAAAGCCCCGGGCUUAACCUGGGAAUUGCAUUUCAUACUGGGUCGCUAGAGUAUUUUAGGGAGGGGUAGAAUUCCACGUGUAGCGGUGAAAUGCGUAGAGAUGUGGAGGAAUACCGAAGGCGAAGGCAGCCCCUUGGGAAUAUACUGACGCUCAUGUGCGAAAGCGUGGGGAGCAAACAGGAUUAGAUACCCUGGUAGUCCACGCUGUAAACGCUGUCGAUUUGGGGAUUGGGCUUUGAGCUUGGUGCCCGUAGCU